GCGAGCGGCCGAUGGGGAGGGCGCCCAGCGUCGCGGGCCGCUGAGUCGGGCAGCGCUGUUGCUGCUGGCCUCUUGGCUGCGCCCCCUCCGCCGCCGCUGUCCCGAGACCGGCGCGGUGGGCUGCUUUGGCGGAGGAGACUGUCUCCACUUUCCGCCCCCCCCGCGAGCGCGACGCGGGGUGCCCGCCCCGCCGGACAGGUGCUUCCCUGCGAGUCGCCGAUUCUGACGCGGAGCCUGACCUCUGCGGUCCUGAUCGGGCCAGUGCGUAUGCGUAGCCGGAGUUUAUUCUGGAGGUGCACGGGCUGCGCAGGUAUAAAACUCAAAACAUGAGCAACCAUAUAUAUAACCAGUGUUCAAAGCUGAUUUGGCUAGAACUGGAAUACAGUUGCCUACAGCAUAUUCCAGAGGAAUUAGAAAAGUCAAAGUAAUGGAUAACAGAAAAGAUCCUCCAUUCUUCAAUGAAGAUAACGUGGGACCAUUUUACUACAGACUUCCUUUUUAUGAUACCAUGGAGCUCUUCAUUGAAACACUGACUGGAACUUGUUUUGAGCUGAGAGUUUUACCCUUUGAAGCUAUCAUUUCCGUGAAAGCGAAAAUUCAAAGAUUGGAAGGUAUUCCCAUCUGUCAGCAGCACUUAAUUUGGAAUAACAUGGAACUUGAAGAUGAUUAUUGCUUGAAUGAUUACAACAUUUCAGAAGGUUGUACCUUGAAGCUGGUUUUGGCUAUGCGCGGUGGACCUAUAAAUACUAGUAGAGUGUUUCCAUUUGUAGUUCCUCUGGAAGAUCCACUGAAGAAGAUGGCUGAGUACAUGGAUUCCAGCCGAGAUGAGGUCUGGGAGAAGACCUCCUGCAACAAGCAAGUUACACUUGUGGUAUACCAAGAAGGAGAUCAGUUGAAUUUCUUCCGUGUAGUAGACAGGGGAGACGGCACUCUAACACCAUUGUCUGAAUCUUUAAGUAGUGGUUCUGUGUAUAGUUUGUAUGCUGAUGAAGAUGAGGAAAUAGAGCCUUCGCCUUCUGGGCAACAGAUAAUUGAAAAUUCAAUAACUAUGAAUAAGAUGAAGCUGCUGAAGACUAAAAUGGAGAACAUGAAUCUCAGCAAAAAGCCUAAGAAAGCUGUCAAGGUAAAACCUCGUCCGCCCGUAGCUCCUCGACCUUGUGGUAGUUCCACAGCAGCUGCUCGCCAUAGGUUGCUAAGAGUCCUUCCCCACAUCGGGCAGGCUUGUUUACCUUCUGCUGGGAACACACAUCUCCCUGACUUGGCCAGCAGUGCAGUUUCCAGUUUGGCAGCUCUGCCCGCUGCUGAUAGACCCGUAUCAUCGAUCACUAGUGAUCUUCCUAAGGAAGAUGAGAACUGGGAGAGUUACACACUGUCGCACUCCAGUAGUGGCUUCAGACGACCGUCUCAGGUGCCUCACGUGGAGUUUGAAACUGACAAAGAGCUUGCUGAUGCUGUGCUCCACCUUGGAUCGUCCCUGCCUCGGCGCACAAAGCACUUUCCGGGAAGUCUGUCAUCUAACAAUGAGGAUGACGCUGUUUUAUUUCCAACUUCAGAAGAGUGUGUCACAGAAGAGUCACUUCCACCUGAAGUGGGUUCAUCUGCUUCCAUUACAGAAGGGAAUGCUGGUGAACAGAGCAGUGGCGUAGGAGGCACGCGGAAGGUAAACCCAGAAUCCUCUCUCAUUAAUGGUGAUGAAGGGUCGAAAGCUAAAGAGCAGCAUCUGAAACACGCUGCAAGAGUGUUGCAUGGUGAAUCGGUAGAGGCUUCAGUUCUCAGCCGCCAUGAAUUAAGGCCUCACAAGAAUAGACUCUUAUCACCUCUUCGCUGUUCUGCACCAAUGUCACUCCAUAAUUCUCUGGCGAAACCACAGAGACAGUCCAAAUGUUGUGAGUCUGGGAGCCUCCAGUCUUCUGCUUCACAAAACCUGCUUCGGUCACUGGAUGUUCGAAAUACAUCUGAUUCGUCUUUCUCUAGGACUACUCGCUUUCGAGCUGUUAAAGUUGAUUCAACUGGGAAAAGAUCUGAUAUUAUUUCUAAAGUUGAGGCUCGGGAUAUCACAGAAAUGGCUAACAGGGCAUCCAAAGAGCCUGUUGGUUUUGUAAAUAAUAUAGGUUUUCUUGCUUUGCUGGCCCGGAGAGCAAGCAGAGACAGCUUAGAGAGUGCACGUGGGGCAGGCAGGCUGCGGACCUCUGGAAUUGGGCUGUCUACAAACCUCCAGCAUUUUCAGGAAGAAAGCCUUAGGAAAAGUUCUCCUCAGUUAGAAACUACAGAAUUUUUUUUAUCUGCCCGUGGUAUUGGAAUGAAUGGAAAUAAUACAACAUCAGGGAAAAGAGUAGGCUUCAGAGAAGAGUUAAUGAUUAGUGAUAUCUUCUUACUGGGUAAGUAGAAUGCUACUCAGUUGACAAAGUUCCUGAGUGUUUUGGAAGAGGAGGUGGCACCUGUAAGUGGAUCUGGUGUGUCCUUCAGGUGGGGUGAUGCAGCGCGUGACAGAAAAUGGCCCUGGGAAGUUACAAAGGCAUAUUGGACACACAAGUCCUUCAAUGUCAGCCCAUGGAGUUUGAAUUUUUCCUCUUUGUAGGAGGGAACUUACCUAUUUGGGCUGGUUCCCAGCAUAGAGAUUGUGACUAAUACUUGUUUUUUUCUGUAGUGGGGAGAAAGAUAAAUGGAAACCUUUGUCAUAGGAGAAGACUGCAGUUCUGUUUCUGUGCCACCUCAUGCUGGCCACUACUGUGUGCUCUGUUUCUGCACAUUCACAGGAGUUUGUGAACGAAAAAGGGUUGGGAAACUUAAGUACCCCAAAGAAAGAAAGACAUGAAAAUAUGACUACGCUGAACUAAAUUUUUGUCCACAGAUUUUUUUUUUUUUAACUUUUGUUUAAGGAACAAUAUCCUAAGCCUGAAUUCCAGAGAUAAUUGCCAUUAGAUGGAUGUCAGAGGGUAUCUGGCAGUAUGCGCCUUUCCUCUGCAUCCUGUGCAAAUGCCUGUCUUAUUUUCAUUAUUUAAGAAGAGGAAAGCAUCCCAUCGCCUUGGUGAAAUGUUCUUGAUAACUCUUAAGUGCCCUUGAAGAAGAAAGUGCUUAUUAGUUUGAGUUGCUACCUGACCACCAUUAGGAGUCCUAAGUUAGCUUCCAGUUUGGGGCAGUUUUCCCCCAGUUUUGGGCAAGAUCUGGGAGUGUAUUUUAGACUAGUCAUAAAGCAUUAAUUUUAUUCUGCUUGUAUACACAGAACCCAAUCCGGAUUGUGGCAAAGGGCAUGCUGCCAAUUAAAUGUGAUUCAACGUUUUGAACCCUUGAAGGAUUACUUUCAGCGGCUACAUAGCAUUAAGCCAGGCCUCCCAAGCCUGUUUUGGAGAGUGCACUCAUCACCUCCCACCUGUGAAAGCCCCUGUUCAAACGAAGAAGAAAGCAGCAAAGCAUUGUUUUCUCUGUGGAAAGAAAACUGGACUGGCUACUAGCUACGAAUGCAG